AGAGACCUCAAGCGUUAUCCGGAAUCAUUGGGCGUAAAGCGUACCGAUAGGUGGUUUACAAAGUCAGAAGUGAAAUCUCUCAGCUUAACUGGGCGACUGUCUUUUGAAACUUGUAAACUUGAGGGGCAAAGAGGAAGCUGGAACAAACGGUGUAGUAGUGAAAUGCGUUGAUAUCGUUUGGAACACCAAUAGCGUAGGCAGGCUUCUGAGUGCCACCUGACACUGCUAGGACGAAAGCGUGGGGAGCGAUAAGGAUUAGAUACCCUUGUAGUCCACGCUGUAAACGAUGAUGAUUAGGUGCUAGAGAGUAUCGACCCUCUUUAGUACCAUAGCUAACGCGUUAAAUCAUCCGCCUGGGGAGUACGGCCGCAAGGCUA
rnacentral:rRNA from 1 species